GAUGAAGAACGCAGCGAAAUGCGAUAAGUAAUGUGAAUUGCAGAAUUCAGUGAAUCAUCGAGUCUUUGAACGCACAUUGCGCCCCCUGGUAUUCCGGGGGGCAUGCCUGUCCGAGCGUCAUUGCUGCCCUCAAGCACGGCUUGUGUGUUGGGCCGUCGUCCCCCUCCUAGGGGACGGGCCCGAAAGGCAGCGGCGGCACCGCGUCCGGUCCUCGAGCGUAUGGGGCUUCGUCACCCGCUCCGUAGGCCUGGCCGGCGCUUGCCGACGACCAUCAAUCUCUUUCUCCAGGUUGACCUCGGAUCAGGUAGGGAUACCCGCUGAACUUAAGCAUAUCAAUAAGCGGAGGA
rnacentral:misc_RNA from 1 species